GCUCUGGGACUGAAUUCUCACACAUUGUUCCUCAAUCCAUUUUUGGGUACAGGGAUUGCAGGAAAAGAUAGAACUGGUUCCCCUCUAUCUGCAAGAUAGACCUUCCAUCUAGUUCUGCCUAGCUUUCCAUCUAGUCAACAAAUCUAGACUUAGGAACCUAAACUUUCACUAUUUCUCAGUUCUCAAACGGGACACUAUUAUGUACUUGAGUCAAUGUAAUAUGACUGCAUUAGCAUUUUUAUUUUAUUUUUAUCAUUGAGUUAUCUGUUUUUACUCGUGGUACAUAGCUAAAAUGAAACUGGUUGCAGUGGUAUGCCAAAAUGCAAGCUUGGCCUUAACGAUCGAGUGUUGCUAGAGGCACAAGGCAGAGCAACAAAGGGAAAAGCUAUUGAUUUGGAAGACAUCAAAUUUCAUCAGUAAAAAAGAAGGGUGAUAAAGAUGAGAGGAAGCUCAAGAGAAGGAUGACUAAUCCAAUGGAUUCUGUUUUUCUUUUUAUUAAUGGGCUUUGAUGUUUGUGGAUUUUAAUCUUUUUUUGGUUCCCAAUAAAAUACAUUAUCUGUGAUUGAACUUUCAGCUUGUUGGUUAGCUUUUCUCAUCUUGUUUCUAGCUUUUCUCAACUGGUCUCAUACUUGAUUUGGCUGAAAUACUUUAGAUAUUAGUGGUAUAACAAUAUGCUUAACUUUCUUGAUGCUAAUGAAUGUGGCUACUUGCUAUUA